GACGGAGGGCGCAAGCGUUGUUCGGAAUCACUGGGCGUAAAGCGCGCGCAGGCGGGUGCGGAAGUCGGAGGUGAAAGGCCGGGGCUCAACCCCGGACCGUUCUUUCGAUACUCCGUGCCUAGGGACCGGUAGAGGCCAGUAGAAUUCCCGGAGUAGCGGUGGAAUGCGUAGAUAUCGGGAAGAACACCAGAGGCGAAGGCGACUGGCUGGGCCGGAUCCGACGCUCAGGCGCGAAAGCGUGGGGAGCAAACAGG
rnacentral:rRNA from 1 species